CCUACGGGGGGCAGCAGUGAGGAAUAUUGGUCAAUGGACGCAAGUCUGAACCAGCCAUGCCGCGUGCAGGAAGACGGCUCUAUGAGUUGUAAACUGCUUUUGUACGAGGGUAAACGCAGAUACGCGUAUCUGUCUGAAAGUAUCGUACGAAUAAGGAUCGGCUAACUCCGUGCCAGCAGCCGCGGUAAUACGGAGGAUUCAAGCGUUAUCCGGAUUUAUUGGGUUUAAAGGGUGCGUAGGCGGUCGGAUAAGUUAGAGGUGAAAUCCCGAGGCUCAACUUCGGAAUUGCCUCUGAUACUGGUCGUCUAGAGAGUAGUAGCGGUGGGCGGAAUGUAUGGUGUAGCGGUGAAAUGCUUAGAGAUCAUACAGAACACCGAUUGCGAAGGCAGCUUACCGGGCUACUUCUGACGUUGAGGCACGAAAGCGUGGGGAGCAAACAGGAUUAGAUACCCCUGUAGUC
rnacentral:rRNA from 1 species